AUGCAAUGUCAGUCUUGAGACGAGUUGAGAUGAAACUAGAGGGUCGAGAUAUAUCUGACAACAGAGAAAUUAGUAUCUCCGAACAAGUGGACUAUCUGCUUAAGCAAGCCACUAGUGUAGACAAUCUCUGCAACAUGUAUGAAGGUUGGACACCAUGGAUUUGAACUUGUGAAGCUGCUGCCUUCUAUAUGUACGAGGCGUAUUAAUUUAGAAUAGCGGUGGUUAAUUCGUUUUUUCCUUGCAAACUCAGAGAAUUGAGAAUUGAGCCUCUUACACUGGGCAAGGCAUUAAUUGCUUCGGCAAUCCCAUCUCUUUUGGCUUCACAUCUCCUGAUCAUUUAAAUGAGCAAUGGUGAUUAUUUCGUAAGAAAUUGGCCGUCAAUGUCUAAUAGCUGCGGUUGUUGGUGAUAUCUAGUUCAUUAGACCUUGCCCUUUCUACAAUGGCCAGCUGUGUCUUUGGUGGAGGAUAACUUGAAAAUUUUCAAGUGUAUCUAGCUCCCUCUAAAUUGUGGUACCUUGGGUGAGAUUAUGCAUGCGGCAUGGGAAGCAGUCUCGUGUGGAACUCGUGUUAGUUCGUAUUUGGUGGUUGCUAAGCUGUCUUCCCUGCUUUAAUGCCCUAUAAAGGUGGAACAACUUCGCAGACACCAUUGUGGCAGACUGGCAGGAGAAUGCCAUGUGAAGCACUUUGAAGAAGAUUUCGGAUUUUAGCAGCAAGCUGGCCUGGUGUAACACAGUUGUUCGUCUGUGGUCAAUUCUCAGUAUCACAAGAAGCACUGCUACUCCCAAAAAGGAGUCUGUAACUCUGUAUCACAAGUUUACUACGUACCAAUGCAAUCAGCUCACUUUUGCACAGGUUGCAUUUGGUUUAGAAGAUCUUACCUCGCAUGCAGGAAUAUCAAAAGUAUCGAACAUCCACAAUAUAGGAAAUUCCUAAUUUCGUCAACGGCAUUUAUCGACCAACUCUUCCUUUUCGGUCUGGGAAUCUCUUUGUUUGAUACUGGCCGGGAAAGUUCAACAUCUUUUCCCUUUUUACUGUGGUAUAAUGAGUUAAGAAUGUAGAUCUUAUUGAGAGAUCAAUUGCUAAAUAAGGUCCUCUGAUAAACUAGCCAGAUAUUGGUAUUCAGUCCUACUCUGUGAUAUACCUUUUACAUUUAAGUUAAUGGAACAAAAACGGAUUUCA